AGCCGGGGACCUCAUAGAAUGAAACAGUCCGAACCAGGUCAGGACAGGAAUGUAGCAGCCUUAAGGAUGUUGUUUGUGCUUUGAGACAAUCUCCGGCCCUU
rnacentral:SRP_RNA from 1 species